CAGCAGGAGCUAGACCUGCCGGGGUAAAAGUCAGGCGCCCCGUAGCUCGGAUAGCAGGGUGGCGGGAAACCAAGACUCUGAAGCCUAUCGACAGGUGGCCCUUGGGGGCCGCGCGAGUCAUCGGGCCGUAACAAAA
rnacentral:ncRNA from 1 species